rnacentral:snRNA from 1 species
GUCCCUGAGAGCAAAACC